rnacentral:Y_RNA from 1 species
GGCUGGUCCGAUGGUAGUGGGUUAUCAGAACUUAUUAACAUUAGUGUCACUAAAGUUGGUAUACAACCCCCCACUGCUAAAUUUGACUGGCUUUU